UCGCAUAAAUAAGUAGAAACACUUAUAUACAUAUACACUUACAAACAUAUGCAUUCAUAUGUAUAUCCUGAAAAAUAAUUUUUAAAUAUUUUGUUAAGACAACGCAUCAACCAUAGUAUUAGAGAAAAUUAAAGCUGCAUCUAUUAAUAAAUAUCAGCACCAUCCCUCUCACAUUAGUGAAUACAUCACUAUUGUAUCAUUGAUCUAAGUUAAGAGCUUAGGAUAUUCUUAUGGUAGGCAUAUAAUUCUUAUAUGUCUUCUUCACAUCAACAAAUAACACAGUAGAC
rnacentral:lncRNA from 1 species